rnacentral:rRNA from 1 species
AUACGUAGGGAGCGAGCGUUGUCCGGAAUUACUGGGCGUAAAGGCGCGGAGGCGGCGGUUCAAGGCGUCUGUCAAAUGGGAGGGCUUAACCCUUUUUCGCAGACGAAAAUGGAGAGAUUGAGAAGCAGAGAGGCAAACAGAAUUUCUGGCGUGGCGGUGAAAUGCGUAGAUAUCAGGAAGAAUACCAGUGGCGAAGGCGGUUUGCUGGCUGCAUACUGACGCUGAAGCGCGAAAGCCAGGGGAGCAAACGGGAUUAGAUACCCCGGUAGUCCUGGCAGUAAACGAUGUAUGCUGGGUGUGAGACUAGCGAUAGUUUCGUGCCGAAGUUAACGCGAUAAGCAUACCGCCUGGGGAGUACGGUCGCAAGAUUGAAACUCAAAUGAAUUGGCGGGG